CAAGUCUGUGUGGCGCAGAGUAACUACAAUUCAAGAAGAACAUCUUGGUCUUACUGGCUUGGGGUAUCAGAGGACAACAUUCAGAGCUGCCAAAGUGUCUGGAAAGUGAGGGAAGGAACUUAUCCCAUAAAUACAGGUGCCACAGCAAAGGGAGCCCCCAAAAUCUGCAUUUAAAUUCUUGGUUAACCCUUGAACUGCACACGUAUUGUGGAGACUCCAAGGAACCUAGCAGAAAGCAAAAACUGAAAGGCUAUCAGAACUGAAAGGAGAUAUCCCCAACUUCCGCUCACUAUAGACUAGAAAGUUUGGAGUUUCAAUCCUACCAAAUUAGAGAGGCUUGGUAAACACCCAGGGCUUUCCACAGACCUACAUAAGUGUAAAACUAAGCCCCCACAAUUCAAGUUAAUUAUCUAGUAACUUAACUGACUGCUAGAAUAAAUAUCAACAUACUUCAGAGAAAAACAACAUAAUCUAGAGUCUCUACAAUGUCUCAUCCACAAUUUCUAGUACAUAAUAGAACAUCUGUUAGACAUGUGAAGACAAAAAGGAAUAUGUAACCCAUAGUGAAAAAAAAAUCAGGCAAUAGAAACAGACUAUGAGAUGUCAUAGUUGUUACAACUACGAGAUGACAUAGUUGUUAGAGUUAGCAGACAAGGACUUUAAGGUAGAUGUUUUAAAAUAUGUUCAAGGACUUACAGGAAAAGGUGAUCACAGUGAGUAAACAGAAAGACAAACUCAGGGAAAUGGAAAUUACAAAUAAGAACCAGGUGGACAUUCUAGUCCUGAAAAUUGUAACAUCUGAAAUAACGAAAAUUCACUAAUUGGUUGGACUUAACAGCAGAUUGGUGAUGAGAGAAGAAAAAGUAAAUGAAACAUAAAGAUGAGUCAACAGAAAUAAUCCAAUCUGAAAACAGACCAAAAAAAUGACUUUCAAAAAUUGAAACAGAGUUUCGGUGAUCUUUGGACAAUAUCUAGCAGCCCAAGACAUGUGUGAUUAGAGCCUCUGAAGGAAAUAAGAGAUAAUGAGGCAGGAAAAAAGACUGGGCAAAAAAUGGCUUAAAAAAUCUCCAAAUUUGGUUAAGAAAAAAAAUCAAUUUUCAGACCCCCCAAAAAUCAAAGUACAUAGCUGGGCAUGGCAGCUCACACCUGUAAUCCCAGCACUUUGGGAGGCUGAGGUGGGUGGAUCUCCUGACGUCAGGAGUUUGAGACCAGCCUGGCCAAUAUGGCAAAACCCUGUCUCAACUAAAAAUACAAAAUUAGCUGGCUUGGCGGUGGGAGCCUGUAAUCCCAGGUACUCAGAAGACUGAGGCAGGAAACUAGCUUGAACCCGGGAGGCGGAGGUUGUAGUGAGUGAAGGUUGCGCUGAGACACGAAGCCAGCUGGACUUCUUGGGUGGAGUGGGGACUCGGAGAACUUUUCUGUCUUACAAGAGGAUUCACUCUGUAGCUAGGAUUGUAAAACACACCAAUCAGCACUCUGUAGCUAGCAAGAGAAUUGUAAAAUGCACCAAUCAGUGCUCUGUAAAAUGCACCAAUCAGUGCUCUGUAAAAUGCACCAAUCAGCGCUCUGUAAACGCACCAAUCAGCAAGAGUCUAAAAGUAGCCAAUCGCGGGGAGGAUUGAAAAAAGGGCACUCUGAUAGGACAGAAACAGGACAUGGGCGGGGACAAACAAGGGAAUAAAAGCUGGCCACCACAGCCAGCAGCAGCAACUGGCCCAGGUGCCGUUCCCUGCUGUGAAGGUUUGUUCUUUCUGUCUUCACAAUAAAUCUUGCUGCUGCUCACUUUUUGGGUCUGUGCCACCUUUAAGAGCCUGUAACAUUCACCCUGAAGGUCGGUGGCUUCAUUCUUGAAGUCAGUGAGACCAGGAACCCACCGGCAGGAACCAACUCCGGACACAGCGCCACUGCACUCCAGCAUGGGCGACAGAGCAAGACUCAGUAAAUAAAUAAAACAAAAAAAGCAUGCACGCACAAAGCAACAAAAACGUUUCAAAGAACAUCUUGAAAUCAGCCGGGAAGGAGAAAAACACACCAAACGAUGAUAUAAUUGAUGAUGAUCUUCUGAUAACAAAAAACAGGCUUUAAAACAAGGGAAUGGGAUCCGUAAGAUUUAAGAGUGAGAGAGAGAAUAAAACUUCUGAAAACAUUUCUGUUUUAUACCAACGAAAAUACCAUUUUAAAAUGAGGGUCAAGUAAUGCCAUUUGCAGAUAAAUGAAAGAUGAAUUUGUUACCAGCAGAGCUACAUUAAGACAAAUGAUAAAGAAGUUCUUUUGGCCAAAGGAAACUGACAUCAUAUGAAUUUGAGACACAGAGAAGAAAAAAUAACAUAGGAAACGUUAAAUAUGUGGAGGGAGAAGUUGAGACUCAGGGAGAACAUACCAUUAACAAGGAGCAAAGCCUGAAGCAGGACUCAGGAUCACCAGCACCAGAGACUGUGCCGCGAAAUACCCCCAGCACGCUUUUUUUUCCUUCCUCUCAUGGCUUACGUGUUUUUUUAAUUUCAUCUUUGAAAUUAUCAUGUAGUUUGUAUAUAACAUAUCUGAUUAAAGUCUUGUAGCCAAAAUAUACAAAAACCUCUUAAAACUUAAUAAGAAAACAAAUUCUCCAAUGAAAAAUGAGCAAGAGAGCUGAACACACAUUUUAUUAAAGAAGAUACACAGAUGGAAAAUAAGCAUAGGAAAAAGUGUUCAAUGUCUUUUGUCAUUAGAAAAAAUGCAAAUUAAAACUACAGUGAGAUACCACUACAUACCUAUUAAAAUGGCUAAAAUCCAUAAAUCUGAAAAUACCAAAGACAAAGAUGCAGAGAAAUAGGAACUCUCAUAUUUUCUUGGUGGGAAUACAAAAUGGUGUAGUCACUUUGGAAAACAUUUGACAGUCGUCAAAAUGUUAAACAUAGUUACCUUAUGACCAGCAGUUCCACUCCUAUAUGUAUAACCAACAGAAUUGAAAAUAUAUGUCCACACACAAAAAAAUUGUUUAAAAUGUUCAUAGCAGUGGGCAUGGCGGCACAUGCCUGAAGUCCCAGGUACUUGGGAGGCUGAGGCUAAAAGAUCCCAUGGCCCAGGAGUUCCAGAUCAUAGUGUGUGAUGAUCAUGCCUGUGAAUAGCCAUUGCAUUCCAGCUUGGGCAACACAGAAGGACCCCACUGCUAAAAAAAUAAGAAAUGGAAUGUCCACAGCAUCAUUAUUGACAACAGUCAAAAAGUGGAAGCAACCCAAAUGUUCAUUAACUUAUGAAUGGAUAUGCAAAAUGUGGCAAAUCCAUACAAUGGAAUAUUAUUAGGUGAUAAAAAAGAAUAAAGUACUUAUACCUGCUACAGCAUGGAGGAACCUUGAAAAUACUAUGCUAAGUGAAAGAAGCCAUUUACUAAAGGCUACACGUUGGAUGAUUCCAUUUAUGAAAUGUCCACAGUAGGCAAAUCCAUAGGGACAGAAAGCUUGCUAGGGGAUUGGGGGAGAAGAUAAAUGACAGUGACUGCUAGAGGGUGUGGGAUAUCCUUACGGGGUGAAGAAAAUGUUCUAAAUUUAGAUAAUGGUGAUAGUUGCACAACCUAGGAAAUAUCCUAAAAAUCACUGAAUUGUACACUCUAAAGGAGUAGAUUGCAUUGUAUAUGAAUUAUAUGUCUAUUCAGAUAAAGUUAUUAAAAUUAUUAAAAAUAUAUAAAGUUGUAAAAAAUGAAGUAAGGCCAACAAAUAUUGAAAACAAUGGAGCCAGAGUUGUGGGGCCACCAGAAGUGUGUUUUUGGUGCAAGCAGUGAGGCCAUCCUGGCAGAGGUGCUCUUGCCCAAAGAUUGUUUUAAUGACCUAGUUAAGAAUGGCUUGGGGCAGGGAAAAAAAAAAAAGAAUGGCUUGUGAUGAGAUUGGCUGUUUUUAAACAAACAUAUGAAGGACUGACAGCAGGUGUAAUGUCUAUACAUCAUUCCUGUGUUCAACCAGAAACAACUAUAAAAAACCCUAUAUACAUUUUAAUAAAAUAUAUGACCAUCAAGACAAAGUGCUAAAAGUUUUUAAGAAGAAGGUGAUUAAAAAAAAAAAAAAAAAAAAAGCAACCAGGAAUCACAUUGACAUCUGAUUUCUGAAUAGCAACACCAGAAGCAAAAAGACAAUGGAAUAACGUUUUUAAAUUUUUAAAGUAGCCUGAAACCAUAAAACUCCCAGAGGAGAGCAGAAUUAGAAAGUUUCAUGACAUUGGUGUUGGUAAUGUUUUGGGGCUGGGGGUACGAUACCAAAACACAGUCAACAAAAGCAAAAAUGGACAAAUGGGACUAUAUUAAAUUAAGAAGCUUCUGGGAUUGGUGCAGGGGCUCACACCUGUAAUCCCAGCACUUUGGGAGGCCGAGGUGGGUGGAUCUCUUGUGCUCAGGAGUUUGAGACCAGCCUGGGCAACAUGACGAAACCUCGUCCCUACAAAAAGUACAAAAAAUUAGCCAGGCCUAGUGGCCUGCCUGUGAUCCCAGCUACUCGGGAGGCUGAAGUGGGAGGGUCUUUUGAGCCCAGGAGGUCUAAGCUGCAGUGAGCUGAGGAGCUGAGGGUACACCACUGCACUUCAGCCUGGGCGACAAAGUGAGACUGUGUCUCAAAAAAAAAAAAAAAAAAAAAAAAAAGCUUCUACACAACAAAGAAAAUAAAUAAUAAACAGAGUGAAAAGACAAUGUUAAUCGUCAGGGAAAUGCAAAUCAAAACCACAAUGAGAUAGCACCUCACGCCUGUUAGGAGGUCUGUUAUUCAAUAAAUAAUAAAGAAAAUAACAGAUGUUGGUGACGAUGUGGAGAAAACUGGAACCCCUUUGCCCUGUUGGUGGGAAUGUAGAAUGGUGCAGCCACUACAGAAAACAGUAUGGAGAUUUUUCAAAAAAUUAAAAAUAGAACUACCCUAAGAUCAAGCAAUCUCACUUCUGGGCGUUUAUCCAAAAAAAUUUAAAUCAGGAUCUCAAAGAGGUAUUUUCAUUCCCAUGUUCAUUGCAGGGUACUCACAAUAUCCAAGUGGUAGAAGCAAUCCAAAUGUCCACUGACAGAGAAGUGGAUAAAGAAAAUAUGGUGUACACAUAUAGUGGAAUAUUAUGCAGCCUUAAAAAAGGAGGUCCUGUCACAUGCUAAACAUGGAUAAACCUUAAGAUAUUAGACUAAAUGAAAUAAGCAGUCACAGAAUGACAAAUGGUGCACAAUUCUACUUACAUGAGGUGUAAGAUGUGAAGAUGAUGGGUCUGUCAGGUGAGUCUGUUGACUGAUACCCACCACUAAGUGUUAGAAAGAGGUGCCAGGCCAUCCACUUUCCAAGUUCUGCUUAUCUAUUUUUAUUUUUAUUUUUAUUUUAGAGACAGGGCCUCAUUUGGUUGCCCAGGCUUUCAAACUCCUGGCCUCAAUCGAUCCUCCUGCCUCGGCCUCCCACAGUGCUGGGAUUACAGGUGUGAACCACUGUGCCUGUUCCUCUGCUUAUAUACUGAAGAACUUUCACACCUUGAAGAACUUUUAUGUUCAAAGACUGACAUGAUGAAAAUGCCUUUUUAAAAAUUGUGGUAUUUCUAAAGUAUAACGUAGUCUAAUGUAAGAAAAUAAAACAUAAGACAAUUGAACAUAUUUAAAAGUUUUCAAGAAAAAAUUUAAGCUUAAAAUUUUAUAUCUAAUCAUAUUGUUACUUCAAAGUGAAAAUAAAAAUAUUUACAGAAGAUAUGCCACCUAAAAACUUUGAAAGCACUCUUGGAGGAAAAAUCAAAUGAAAUGAAAAAAUUAAUUUAGAUCCUUUCCUCCAGUGUUCAUGAAAAGAAAAACAAAUUAAUUUAGACUGAUGCCUUAUGAAAUCCAGCACUUGAGCUGCAGGUAUUUAUCAAACUGAUUUGAAAAGUUAUGUGCACACAAAAUCCAACACCUUAAUGUUGUUAUCAGCUUUUUAAAAAUUAAUAUAACCAUCAGAAAGUGAAAGCAACCAAGAUAUUCUUCAAUUGGAAAAUGGAUAAACAAACUGUCAUCCAUCCAAACAAUGGAGUACUAUUCAGCCAUUAAAAGGAAUGAGCUAUCAAGCCAUGCAAAAACAUGUGCAAAUCAAAUGCAUAUUGUUUGGUGAAGGAAACCUGUUUGAAAAGUCUCCACUUAAAUGGCAUUCUGGAAAAGGCAAAG
rnacentral:lncRNA from 10 species